rnacentral:tRNA from 1 species
GGAAAAUAUGAUAAGCGUGGAAGAAAGGGUCAUGAAUACUGCAUGUGCCGUUUCGGCGAUAAAGGACCAUAUUCA